ANGAAUCUGCCUAUUAGUGGGGGACAACAUCUCGAAAGGGAUGCUGAUACCGCAUACGUCCUACGGGAGAAAGCAGGGGAUCUUCGGACCUUGCGCUAAUAGAUGAGCCUAAGUCGGAUUAGCUAGUUGGUGGGGUAAAGGCCUACCAAGGCGACGAUCUGUAGCGGGUCUGAGAGGAUGAUCCGCCACACUGGGACUGAGACACGGCCCAGACUCCUACGGGAGGCAGCAGUGGGGAAUAUUGGACAAUGGGCGCAAGCCUGAUCCAGCCAUGCCGCGUGUGUGAAGAAGGCCUUAUGGUUGUAAAGCACUUUAAGCGAGGAGGAGGCUACUCUAGUUAAUACCUAGGGAUAGUGGACGUUACUCGCAGAAUAAGCACCGGCUAACUCUGUGCCAGCAGCCGCGGUAAUACAGAGGGUGCAAGCGUUAAUCGGAUUUACUGGGCGUAAAGCGCGCGUAGGCGGCUAAUUAAGUCAAAUGUGAAAUCCCCGAGCUUAACUUGGGAAUUGCAUUCNAUACUGGUUAGCUAGAGUGUGGGAGAGGAUGGUAGAAUUCCNGGUGUAGCGGUGAAAUGCGUAGAGAUCUGGANGAAUACCGAUGGCGA
rnacentral:rRNA from 1 species